rnacentral:rRNA from 1 species
AUUGAACGCUGGCGGCAGGCCUAACACAUGCAAGUCGAAUGGUAACAGGAAACAGCUUGCUGUUUCGCUGACGAGUGGCGGACGGGUGAGUAGUGUCUGGGAAACUGCCUGAUGGAGGGGGAUAACUACUGGAAACGGUAGCUAAUACCGCAUAACGUCGCAAGACCAAAGAGGGGGACCUUCGGGCCUCUUGCCAUCGGAUGUGCCCAGAUGGGAUUAGCUAGUAGGUGGGGUAACGGCUCACCUAGGCGACGAUCCCUAGCUGGUCUGAGAGGAUGACCAGCCACACUGGAACUGAGACACGGUCCAGACUCCUACGGGAGGCAGCAGUGGGGAAUAUUGCACAAUGGGCGCAAGCCUGAUGCAGCCAUGCCGCGUGUAUGAAGAAGGCCUUCGGGUUGUAAAGUACUUUCAGCGGGGAGGAAGGGAGUAAAGUUAAUACCUUUGCUCAUUGACGUUACCCGCAGAAGAAGCACCGGCUAACUCCGUG